rnacentral:rRNA from 1 species
UACGUAGGGUGCAAGCGUUGUCCGGAAUUAUUGGGCGUAAAGAGCUCGUAGGCGGUCUGUCGCGUCUGCUGUGAAAACUCAGGGCUUAACCCUGAGCUUGCAGUGGGUACGGGCAAACUAGAGUGCGGUAGGGGAGAUUGGAAUUCCUGGUGUAGCGGUGGAAUGCGCAGAUAUCAGGAGGAACACCGAUGGCGAAGGCAGAUCUCUGGGCCGUAACUGACGCUGAGGAGCGAAAGCAUGGGGAGCGAACAGG